AACGAACGUUGGCGGCGUGGAUUAGGCAUGCAAGUCGCGCGAAUCCCACCUGGGCAACUGGGUGGGGGAAGCGGCGAAAGGGGCAGUAAGGCGUGGGUAACCUGCCCCGGAGUUCGGAAUAGCCUUCCUAACGGAUGGGUAAUACCGAAUGCCAUGAGCGAGGGGCAUCUCUUGCUCAUGAAAGCUCCGGCGCUCCGGGAGGGGCCCACGUGGUAUUAGCUAGUUGGUGGGGUGACGGCCCACCAAGGCCAAGAUGCCUAGCAGGUGUGAGAGCACGACCUGCGCCACUGGCACUGGGACACUGGCCAGACUCCUACGGGAGGCUGCAGUCGAGGAUCUUCGGCAAUGGGCGCAAGCCUGACCGAGCGACGCCGCGUGUGCGAUGAAGGCCUUCGGGUUGUAAAGCACUGUCGGGGGGGAGAAAGGGGCGCAAGCCCUUGAUCGACCCCCGGAGGAAGCACGGGCUAAGUUCGUGCCAGCCGCCGCAGUAACAC
rnacentral:rRNA from 1 species